CUAUAUCCGCUCGUCAGCGCCACUACCUACCCAUUACAGGAUAAAACAUUAAAUGCCACUACAAGUCACUCCACCAAACCCCGAAUUUCCAUGAAGACCGUAUCCCAAGGAGUUAUGAGAUUGAUCACUGUUCGUUAUCUUCACCUUUCAUAGCCCCUUGGCCUGGGGUUCAACGGUGCAAAGAGAAGAUUUGCAAGAUGGUAAAGUGGAGUGCUUUCAAACAUGUAAACCAUGAACAAAGAAAUACAUUGUAUGUACCUGAUUAUUGUGUGGAAACAGAUUAGUGGAUAAUCACAUCGUCGCAGAUUGCAGAAAAUGUACACAAGGAAUCAAGCCCAAUUCAUGUUCAAUUAUAAGACACUAAAGAACUGAGUCAUCCAAUGUGCUAAAUCCAACAAAUACGUACAUGUAUCUAUUUGUAUGUGGCGUUUUGAAAUAUAAUUAAUUUCCACGACUUGUUAGGAUUGAUGCUUCGCUCGUAAAAACUAUUGUUGUAUCUCUGUUUAAAUAUUCAUGAAUUCAGGGGUCACUUAUCUGAUACACGCAGAUUUCACCCCAAUCAAGAAAUGCAUGUAAGAAAUAACCAACAUACAUGUAUUUAAAUACCAUUUUUAGCAUAUGGAAUGAAACAAACCGGGUUCAAAUUGAAAUACGAGAGAUAUUCCAUUCCUGUACCUGAAUGUAGAAAUACAAAAUUAUUUUUCAGACGUGAUUGUACAAUUUUAUGCGUCCGUCUUUAGACGGGACGUAUUAUGGUACAAUGAUGUCUGUACGUCCGUUCGGGGUUUUCCUGUUUCUAAUUUCAUUUCUCUGGCAUAUAUCAAGCUGAAACUUGCUAUAUAGCUUCUUUGUGGACCAUUUUAGAUCAUAUUGCAAUUUUUAGUAGCCGAGUGGUUAGAGCAUUUCGCUCAAAAUCACACGGCCUCUCACCUCUGGUCGGCGCGAGUUCGAAUCCCGCUCGCGCCGGUAAGUGGGAAAGUUUCCCAGCUUACUUUCGGAAGGUCGGUGGUCUUUCCAGGUACAUUCUAUCUGGGUUCUCUCUUCCACCAAUAAAAACUGGCCGCCACUAGAUAACUGAAAAAUUGUUGAGUGUGGCGACAAACAGCAAAAAAAAAAAAACAACAACAAACAUUGCAAUUUUGAUCCAUUUUGACUUCUCUUGCUGGAGUUCUGCCCCUUUAUUUGAAAAUUAUUGUUACAUGGAGGGUAUAUAAUUUGUCCGGUUAACUCCUCCCACAACUUUCAAGUGAGGGUCAUCUUGUUUUACAGAGUGUUUGUAUGGAUAUUAAAGAUAUGCUUGUGGCAAGGAUUUUGAUUUUCUUCAAUUUUUUAGAUAAAUAUAUGUAUACAUGUAGGUUAUUGAACUUAUUCCGCUUUGAUGAAAUAUUAUAAAGAGAGAACAUGAUUUGUUCGGUGAACUCCUCCCCCAGUUUUCAAGUAAAAACCUUCUUAUUGUACAGAGCGUUUAUAUGGAUAUUGAAGGUAUGCAUGUGACAAAGAUAUUUUCUUCAAUUUUUGAGAAAAGUACAGGUUAUUGAACUUAGUAAAUUUUUAGGAAAUAUUGCAUACAGAGUACAUGAUUUGUCUGUUUUUCCUUCCACAGUUUUCAAGUGAGGCCCUUCUUCUGUAUGGGUAUGGAAAUUGUGCAUGUGGCAAGGAUUUUGAUUUUGUCUUAUUUUUAAGAAAAUUACAUGUACAAAUUGUUGAACUUAGUCCAUUUGAGGAAAUAUGAUAUUAGAUAAAGGACAUGGUUUGCCCUUAUAAUUCCUCUCACAGUUUAGAAGCUAUGGUAUUUGUAAGUAACUUGAAGAUAUACAGAGUGCAAGGAUUUUUUUAAUCUCAACAAUUUUCAAUUUUGUUUGACGUUUUUAAUAUUAAGAGGUUGUUAAACUUGGUCAAAUGGGGAAAUAUUUUACACACGGAACUCUUGGUUUGUCUAUCUCCUAUCACAGGUUUAAGCUAAGACCCUUAAUUCAUAUUAUGCAAAGAAAGUCACAGCCUGAUACUAAAUGAAGCAAAUUUCUAAAAAUCACGGCUUAAGAAAAACACCCUAUGUAAGCAUUUUCACGGACCUAUUAUGUACUGUUUGUGGUACUCUUGUUUGAUAUUGCAAAAGAAUUUCUUAUCAUAUCCAUUUGUUAUUUACCAUAACAAUGCAUCAUCUGAUUAUCAAAACUCCUUCACUGCAAAGACAGACACUUACAUGUGGGAUAUGGAACAAUCACACAACAUGAAUUGGUCAAAUACAGUCAAAUUCCUUUUUGAAUCUCUUGAUAUGACAGUAUAUUUCCUAAAUCGUAUGAUCUGUAACUUAAACACAGUGGAAGAAAAACUUCGUCGGGAUUUUAUAAAUGGCUGGAAUGAAGAGGUCCCAAACUUAGAACCUACCGAACCGUAAAAAAUAUGAGUGAUUUUCAAACAGAAAAAUAUGUACAUGUAACCAUGGAUAUUCCAAAAAGUCAUCGUUCUAUACUUGCACAGUUCAAAUGUGGUGUCUUACCUAUAAGAAUUGAAACAGGACGGUAUAAGGGGGAGGCGUUAUCGGAUAGACUGUGUACUUUAUGUUCUUCAGAUAGUGUAGAAGAUCUAGAUGAAUGUCACUUUUUACUUCAUUGUUCCUCUUAUUCAAAUCUUAGAGCAAUCUUUUUUACCAGUAUCGGUCUUAACCCCACUGUGAUCAAUAUGGCAGAUUUAGACAAAACAAAAUUUCUAUUAUUAAAUUUUCCAAGACAAACUGCAAAAUUCCUGUUAUCCGCAUACACCUACAGACAGUCUAUCAUAUACCAUAAUAGUAAAAGUCAUGCGUAAUACAUGUACCACUGUAUUAUUAUUUAAUGCUUUUUUCUGUUGAAAGUGACAUAUAGGCCUGAUGGGCCGGGUGUUUAAAUUCCUAUUAUUCUGUAUAAAGUAUAUUUCAAUUCUGUAAUGUAUAAAACACAUGUCACUAUAAUAAAUCAUUUACUUACUUACUUACUUACUUACUUACAGGUAAGCUCUUUAGUUAUAAUGAAUUUUGCAGGGUUAAUUCACAAUACACUACUUUUUUUUUUCUUUUUUUUUUUAGCUCGCAUGAACUGAAAGCAAGUUAAAGUUCAUUUAUUUUCACUCACACCAUCCAUCGGUGGUACAUGAGGUACAAUAAAUAAUAAAAGAUAAUGGUAAGUCGUCUUAAUUAAUCGUGAAUACACAAAAACUAAUAAUAAUAAAAAAGAAAAUACAAGACAUGUACAUACUAUAGCUACAAACAAAGAAAAAGUAAGAGAUAUAAGUUAUGGAGGACAGACUGCAUCAUAAAUUUUAGUUAUGAAGAGACAGAGAUUUUUCAACGAUUUAAAACUUGAGUUUGACAUUAUCUCGCUAAACUUAAGUAUAUUGGGCUUAUUACAAAAUCUGGGAUAUAAAAACUGUGUCCUGAUACUAGCUAAUGAUUUGCAUUCUAUUUUUACAAGUUACAUCUCCCUUACAUUUGUCAUAGCCUACACGGCUAUUUACUAUAUUCAUUUCAUUAUUUCUACAAAAAUCAAUUAAUUUAUAUCCAUAAAUAUUCACAAUUGAAUCUUUAACAAUUCUUUCUAAUGGAAUGUUAUGGUUUUUUAAUAUUGUGGAUCUCGUUAAAAUAUCUGAGUGCAUACACUCAUCACAGUUAUUCUGAUUCAAUUGAAAUUCAUCGGCAGUAUAAUAGUCGCGUAAAUUAGCGAGUCUGGCAUUAGAGUCACCCAUCAUACAAAUAUAAUUUGAGUCUUUUGAAAAAUUAAGAAACUCCAGUUCAAUUUCUAGGAAGCAAUCAGGAGAUGAAUAUUUACUGUCUUCUGGUGGUACAUAAACAACACCACAUGUUACAUCUUUGUCUAUGCUCAAUAGAGAUUUGUUUAUCUUAAACCACAUACCAUAUUUACAAUCAAUAUCUAUUACAUUUACAUAUUUAACGAUAUUAUCCUUAACAGCUACAAUAAUUCCCCCUGAUCGAAAAUCGCAAGUUUGCGCCGAUUUUUCAUGCAAGUUUCAAAACCAGGUAUGUGUAUAAUAUCGGAAUCAUCAGUUUUAGUUUCUGUAAGACGUUUAACGUAAAAUAUGUCCAUUCUAAGUGUCUUUAACUGCCAAUAUCGAAUGUUCUGUCGGAGCUGUUUCAAAGGCGACUUACCACAUCGAGUGACCUUUCUCCAAGGGAGCUUUUCUGAUCAUUUUGUCCAGCGUCAGUCUGUCCGUCCGUUAACGUUAACGUUUUCGACUUCUUUUCCUGAACCACUUUCAGCCAAAAUUGCCACAAAGCAUGCUUGGGAUAAGUGCCAUGUCCUUUGAAGUAGAUAUAAUUGAUAAUUAGUUUUUAAAAAAACCUGUGGCAUUGUUUAAAAAUCGUCUCAAGAAACACUGGGACAAUUUCAAACAAACUUGGCACAAAUCAUCCAUGAGUAGAGGGAAUUCAAGUUUGUGCAAAUGAAGAAUUGUGCUCUCUCCGAAGGGGAGAACAUCAAGAAAAUGCAAAAAUAGAGUGAGAUCAUUUAAAACUCUUCUCAAGAACCACUGACACACAAAAGUUAAAACUUAUGUAAGCUUCUUGACAUAGUGCAGAUAUGAUAUAUAAAAAUCAAUUCAUGAUAACCACAAAUAAUUAAAAAAAAUAUGAUGACUAAAAAUAUUGUUUGUUGUAUUUUAAUUCAAACAUCGUGAACAGGAAUACCUCAAUAGGCAAAAUGAGGAGUUCCGGAGUAUGCAAUUGAAAAUUGAUGAAAUUCAAUUUUCUUUAAAAAAAAAAAAAUGAAUAAAACAUUGUGGAAAAUAAACGACAAAUACUUGUGAUCUGGGGUUAUUACAGAUGUUUCUAUUUAUAUAUGAGGAAUUGGUACAGGAAAAAUCACCAGGUGCAUCAUUCCUUAAAUCUCUAUUCAAACUGUUUGUAAACGAUGACGUACGGUGUAACGACAUAACCUGUGUCACGCCCUACCACAUAAAUCGGCUUCUUCACAUCGGGAACUGUUUGCGAACUAUAAUUACAUCUGUGUGAGGGGAAUUACCGUCUAAACCCGUCACAGUCCAAAGCAUCAAGGGGGAAAUCAUGUUUACGCCCUGUCAACCGUGCAAACGCAGGCAGUAUUGAGGUAUUUCCAUUGUGUCGUGAAUUAAAGAUUGCAAGUCUUUAAGAAAGAAUUGAAAUUGUUGCUACUUGCAAAUAAAACUACUUUUAAAAUAUUUGUUUAAAGACUUGAUAGAAAAAACAACCCCGAAGUUGAACAACUUUAAUGUUGAUAUUUAUUCCAUGAUAUUUUUGCAAGUGUUAUUUCAAAUUGAGUGCUAUACUAUAAUACAUGCACACUGAACUCUGCGGCAGCGGGUGGAAUAUGAUCACAUUGAUAACUUUCAAAAUGAGAAUGAAUAAUCUGAUGCAGUGCGCCAGGCAAAUCAUUGAACGUGUCCUUGAAUCCAGAAAGAUCUUGGUGUAGGGAGAGGGCUAAAAUAGGCUAUACAUGAUGCCCGGUCCCAUUCACUUUGUGAAUAAAAUAAAGUUUACAUCAAAGAUCUCACAAUACAUUUCAUAAGAGUAAUUUAUACUUCUGUUCUACAUCAAUAGAUAUUGUUGUCAGAAUUUGGUGAUUUUUGUUUACGGAUCCGAAAUAUUCAAUGUGCACACGUGGAGAAGUUACAUACUUGAACCCCAAAACGAUCGCAAACUGACACUUUCUAUAAAGGCAUGGAUAACGCCAUAUGGAACGUUAUGAUUAGAAAUUGAACAAGGUAGAUUAGCAAUAUUCCAAGAAACAAAAGAAAAUGUAAAUUAUGUUCAGAGAGUAUUGAAGAUGAAUAUCAUUUUAUAUUAGUAAUGAUUGUAGAAAACAGUAUUUAAAGAAAUAUUAUAAACGCCCCUUCCACUUUCAAGUUUGUCCGACUAUUAUCAACUGGAAAUGUUACGGAAUUAUGUAAACUUGAUAAAUACCUAUAUAAAUGUUCAUUAGAUCUCAGUUAUUAUAAGAUUAUCCUCAGUAUUUAUCCUGUCCAUGUACAUCAGUAUGAUAUAUUAUGUUCUGUUACUAUUUCAUUGUAUAAUUCAUUGUUGUAUAUACUUUAUACCUAUGAACUAUUUCAUUGUAUAAUUCGUUGUUGUAUAUACUUUAUACCUAUGAACUGUUUCAUUGUAUAAUUCGUUGUUGUAUAUACUUUAUACCUAUGAACUAUUUCAUUGUAUAAUUCGUUGUUGUGUAUACUUUAUACCUAUGAACUAUUUCAUUGUAUAAUUCGUUGUUGUAUAUACUUUAUACCUAUGAACUAUUUCAUUGUAUAAUUCGUUGUUGUAUAUACUUUAUACCUAUGAACUAUUUCAUUGUAUAAUUCGUUGUUGUAUAUACUUUAUACCUAUGAACUAUUUCAUUGUAUAAUUCGUUGUUGUAUAUACUUUAUACCUAUGAACUAUUUCAUUGUAUAAUUCGUUGUUGUAUAUACUUUAUACCUAUGAACUAUUUCAUUGUAUAAUUCGUUGUUGUAUAUACUUUAUACCUAUGAACUAUUUCAUUGUAUAAUUCGUUGUUGUAUAUACUUUAUACCUAUGAACUGUUUCAUUGUAUAAUUCGUUGUUGUAUAUACUUUAUACCUAUGAACUGUUUCAUUGUAUAAUUCGUUGUUGUAUAUACUUUAUACCUAUGAACUAUUUCAUUGUAUAAUUCGUUGUUGUAUAUACUUUAUACCUAUGGACUAUUUCAUUGUAUAAUUCGUUGUUGUAUAUACUUUAUACCUAUGAACUAUUUCAUUGUAUAAUUCGUUGUUGUAUAUACUUUAUACCUAUGAACUAUUUCAUUGUAUAAUUCGUUGUUGUAUAUACUUUAUACCUAUGAACUAUUUCAUUGUAUAAUUCGUUGUUGUAUAUACUUUAUACCUAUGAACUAUUUCAUUGUAUAAUUCGUUGUUGUAUAUACUUUAUACCUAUGAACUGUUUCAUUGUAUAAUUCGUUGUUGUGUAUACUUUAUACCUAUGAACUAUUUCAUUGUAUAAUUCGUUGUUGUGUAUACUUUAUACCUAUGAACUAUUUCAUUGUAUAAUUCGUUGUUGUAUAUACUUUAUACCUAUGAACUAUUUCAUUGUAUAAUUCGUUGUUGUAUAUACUUUAUACCUAUGAACUAUUUCAUUGUAUAAUUCGUUGUUGUAUAUACUUUAUACCUAUGAACUGUUUCAUUGUAUAAUUCGUUGUUGUAUAUACUUUAUACCUAUGAACUAUUUCAUUGUAUAAUUCGUUGUUGUAUAUACUUUAUACCUAUGAACUAUUUCAUUGUAUAAUUCGUUGUUGUAUAUACUUUAUACCUAUGGACUAUUUCAUUGUAUAAUUCGUUGUUGUAUAUACUUUAUACCUAUGAACUGUAUGGUUCUUGGUCAACAAACAAUACAGUGAUGUACAUAUCAAUCACAAUAACAUAAAAUAAAAUGCUUGUCCAUCAU